rnacentral:sRNA from 1 species
GAAAAUGCAAACUGAAACCUGGGAAACAGUGCAGUCCAAGUCAAGGUCCUUGUUGUACAGCACAGUGUGCAUUCAAGUCAAAGUCUGAGAAGUGUCGGGAUGAUUCAGACUGUGCAAGGGAAGGAAUAUGUAAUGGCUUCACAGCUCUCUGCCCAGCAUCUGACCCUAAACCAAACUUCACAGACUGUAAUAGGCAUACACAAGUGUGCAUUAAUGGGGUAAGCAUUUAACUAUAUGUUUUAAAAUUUAAUUUUAGAAAACUUGUUUUUUGGAAGAAUUAUUGAUGCUUAAAGCUACAUAGUUAAAGUAAUUAAUCUUGGUCUCUGUUUAAGUAAUAUUCCCUCACAAAACCAUGAAUAUAUUAUGUGGCAUUCAAUGAGCUACUGAUUUGUCUUUCAUCUUUCCAUGUACAUGUGGUUGAUAUUCUCUAGAGAAACAUAGUUGUACAACUCGGCAUGUGACUUGUCUAUAAUAUUUAAGUUUUAUAAAAUAAUAUUUCAGUAGCCUAAAUAAAAGAACUCUUUGGUCAUCUUCUCUGAAUAUCAAACCUUCAAAGCUUUUGUGGCUGAAUAUCACUUUGCUCUACAGGAAAAAAAUUUAAUUUUUCUUUCUUUAUAGAAGAGCCGUAAUAACCAACAUAAAAUCGAUCCUCAUCUAAUCUCUUGCUCUGCUCUUAUUUCAUUUUUUUAAGUUGCCAUUGCUUUAAAAGAUUUACUAUCUUUCUUGGAUUUACUGUUUUUCAAAUUUUUU